rnacentral:rRNA from 1 species
UGCAGUCGAGGGGUAUAUACUUUCGGGUAUAGAGACCGGCGCACGGGUGCGUAACGCGUAUGCAAUCUACCUUUUACAGGGGAAUAGCCCAGAGAAAUUUGGAUUAAUGCCCCAUAGUAUUAUUUGAUGGCAUCGUUAGAUAAUUAAAGUCACAACGGUAAAAGAUGAGCAUGCGUCCCAUUAGUUAGUUGGUAAGGUAACGGCUUACCAAGACUAUGAUGGGUAGGGGUCCUGAGAGGGAGAUCCCCCACACUGGUACUGAGACACGGACCAGACUCCUACGGGAGGCAGCAGUGAGGAAUAUUGGACAAUGGGCGCAAGCCUGAUCCAGCCAUGCCGCGUGCAGGAAGACGCAUCUAUGGUGUGUAAACUGCUUUUGUACAGGAAGAAACACUCCCUCGUGAGGGAGCUUGACGGUACUGUAAGAAUAAGGAUCGGCUAACUCCGUGCCAGCAGCCGCGGUAAUACGGAGGAUCCAAGCGUUAUCCGGAAUCAUUGGGUUUAAAGGGUCCGUAGGCGGUUUAAUAAGUCAGUGGUGAAAUCUGGUCGCUCAACGAUCAAACGGCCAUUGAUACUGUUAGACUUGAAUUAUAAGGAAGUAACUAGAAUAUGUAGUGUAGCGGUGAAAUGCUUAGAUAUUACAUGGAAUACCAAUUGCGAAGGCAGGUUACUACUUAUGGAUUGACGCUGAUGGACGAAAGCGUGGGGAGCGAACAGGAUUAGAUACCCUGGUAGUCCACGCCGUAAACGAUGGAUACUAGCUGUUGGGCGCAAGUUCAGUGGCUAAGCGAAAGUGAUAAGUAUCCCACCUGGGAAGUACGUUCGCAAGAAUGAAACUCAAAGGAAUUGACGGGGGCCCGCACAAGCGGUGGAGCAUGUGGUUUAAUUCGACGAUACGCGAGGAACCUUACCAAGGCUUAAAUGUAGAUUGACCGGUUUGGAAACAGAUCUUUCGCAAGACAAUUUACAAGGUGCUGCAUGGUUGUCGUCAGCUCGUGCCGUGAGGUGUCAGGUUAAGUCCUAUAACGAGCGCAACCCCU